UUGCACUGUUGUAAGACUGAUUCCUGUGAAGAAACAGGCUGCUAAAAAGAGAACUGGUGAGCUCAAAGAAAGAUACCCACUUCUACCAUGUUCUAGGAAGACCUCUAUGUCAACAGUACAAAUAUAAGCAUGAUGCCAGAUGUUCUGAAAAUUUCCUUGGGUCCCUCUUUCUGAGAGUUCGGGAGUGAAAGGAGCUGAUUUGGUUUAAAGGUUCUCUGAAGAUUAAUAUUAUCCCUCAUUUGCAGAACCAUUAAAAACUUGUAAUCAAGCAAAUGAGAACGUAAAUCUGUACAUUUUGGACAGAUUUUCUACAAUCAUUCCCAAACAUAAUUUUUUAAGUGAUAGGAUCACAUUUCAUCUGAAUAUCAAGAAGUUGAAAUCUACAGCUGAAUGCAUCUCUUGUCAGAUAGUCCAUAUCUGAGAAAGGAGAUGAGAAGUAGCUUCUUGUGGAUUGCAGAUUGCAGAGUACUAACCCCAUAAGCAGAUUGCAGAGUACUUACUGAAAGAUUCAAGUUAAUGUUGACAGAAAUGAGAAAACCCAAGACAACCUACAUGAAUGAAACGUGAACUGAAAUAAAUAUUAACAGUGAUAUCAUCAAUAGGAAUCAAGCUUCUCCAGGAAGGAUACUCCAACAAACUAGAUUUCAUAUCACUUCUGACACUUGAUGUACUGCCUCCAAAAGGCAGUAUUCAUGGAAAUACAAGCUAUCUUUCUUACCAUGGGAAUGUUCCCUAAGUAUCUGCAUCAAUAUCUGUAAACUUUUGAGACCUGGAGAAAUAAAUACAGCAGUGUUGUAUUCUGACUUCUGCUUCAGUGAAGAUCUAACUGAAUUUCUUGAGGAGAUGAUUUUUAUGGACUACCAAAGGAGGCAGGCAUCCUGAAAUUACCUUAAGUCUUACAGAACAAUUGGGUGAUGCAAGUACAUUUAAGCAGCCUUGGAGAGUGCUGUUGUGGAUGGCAAUGAGUGUGACUCAUCUGGCUAUAGAGCUGGAAAUGGAAAUGUAAUAUUAAAGAAAAUAAAUAACAAGACUGAAAAGAGAAUUAAAUGAGGAAAUGAGGCAUGAAUGCGUGAGACAGAGGUUAGUCUACUGCAUUUCUACCCUGGUUGUUUGUUUGUUUUGCCUUACCUGAUGUUCCAGGCAGCAUUAUACAGCAACUUUGCCCCACAUUCUUCCCUCCCUUCCUUUCUCGGGACUGUUUGCCCUUACUGUGUUCUGCCUGCUUCGCUGGAGGACUGUGUCUGUAUCGUGGCUGCAUUCAUUCAAGCUGGAAAUCAGAAGAAGGUAAAUACUGAAGAGACACUGCAGGAAACUGUCUUUCCAAGGAGCUGAACUUUCUGCUCACUCAUUGCUCAUGGAGAGCUCUGCUGACUCCUAUCACAACCCCCACUGGCAGCUGUUCCCCAGAGGUAACCAAACAGGCGCAGCUCGGGAAAUUCCUAUAAUUGAAUUAUUUUUCAGGUGCUGAAAACAUUCAUUUUAUUGCCAAAGUUCUUACGGAAAAGAAGAGAAAGUAAUAUAGAGAAAAAGAGCUUGAAGAAGAGGGACUGAAUUUUACUCUCAGAGUUAAUGCUAACAUGUAAUCAAAAAUGUUCAUAGUAGUCAAUCACAUUGCAACCUUUCCCACGUCUUAAAAAUGUACUUGAUUAUUUACCAGAGGAACAUAGUAAUUUUCAUGAUGUACUACUGUUUUAUGAUGUUACAUUAGCAAAUCAAACAGUAGGCCAGGGGAUGCAGGUGUCUUUCAAUUGUUGACAUUCUUUCACAAUUAGUACCACAACAAACAAUGAUAUGCAGAGUUAAAAAACACUCAUGAUUUCCUGCAGGUGAUAUUUAUUUAUCAAGAUACUAAUUUAGGUAUGAUUUUGGUGGCAUGAAUACCUCAGCUGCCUGACACAACAUGACUGUAUUAAUAAAGGAUUUGAAACAUAAGUUAUGUUUUCACAGUAUCAAAUCUGUACAGAAUCAGGAAAAAUAAAAAGUAAUUACACUCAAGAAACUCCAAAUAGUAGUGUGAUAUUCCAGUAAUCUCUUUCUCUCUGAGAAUCGCAUGUCAUAAAUAUGUCCUCAGUCAUCAGAGAAAAAUCAUUUUUUCUCUUCUCCCCUCUACUGCUGCUCAUAAAACAGAGGAGCUGUGCCUCUGUAAUUAGCUUGGAAAGUAGCUCCUCCUCUUCCUCCCAACACAUACUUUGGCUUGAGAACAAUAGCGUCAUAUUUUUAGCAAAAUUAAGCAAAAGGCGCUUGCCUCUCAGUGGCAUAAGUGAGAAUUUAGAUGAUCAAGCCUAAAAACACUGGUUAGCGACAUUAACUCCUGGAAGCAUUUAUAAUCACAGGGCUUGAAGUUCAUGAGAUCCCCACUGUGGUGUGGUUUGCAGCAAAUCUGAAAGGAAAUAAACAUAUUCCUCUGUUUGUUCCUGUCUUUGUAAAGGCAUUUUGUAGACUUGUUGGAGAAAAUACAAAAACUAGAAUAAAUAUCUAAGAUGCUCACUGUCCUGAUCAAUAGCUAUUAUACUAUUUUUAAAUAAAUGGAUAGACUGCACUCUCAAUCUCUGGCAAAUGGAAGUUGUAUACACUUACCUUUAAAUUUAACUACACUUGAAUAUGUAGUUUUUUGGACAAAGUGAAAAAGUCAGGAAUCUAAUAAGGAAAUUAUUUUAAAAAGAGGUUUUUGAUUUCAAUUAAAAUAUUGUUUAUGUUCCAAAAUUUGAUACUGAAAAUCUGUCACAAACAAAUCUGACAGUUCUAGAUUUCUGCUAUAGAUUAAUAUAUAUACGUUUAGAAAAUUUCUGAAACAGAACAUGGUCUUUGUCCCUUCAACUUGCCUAAUGAAAGCAAAGUUUUCCUUUGGUUCCUAAAAAUUGAAAUCAGUGCUGUUGAAUUUCAAACAUACUAGUACUGUAUGUAAACAUUGUUUCAAUACACACUCAAACCUGUUUGUACAUAAAUAAGAGAACAAUAUUUUUUUUCUCAAGUAAGAUUAUUUUAAUGGAUCAAAGAGCUUUGUUAAUAUAAUUCUGAUUAUUUCAGAAUUUAUUUCAAAUGGUUUCUUUUUAACACACUUGGAAAUACAUCAGAAAUGCUCACUUUAAUUAAUAAAACUAUUUAAAACUAGUAUGAAAAAGUAAACAGUCUUCUGCCUCUGUUUUAUAAAUGGCAAUUAAAGUAAUGUAGAAUAGAAAUUCAGUAUCUAGAUUACAAUAUACAAAAAAGUUAUUUUAAUUGAUGGUAUUACUUGCAAACGGUGUAAUUAGGACUUGAUCUGUGUUUCCAUUAAAUGAAGCUUACAUGUGGUAUAUUCAUAACAUUUCAUUUAAAAAAUAAUAAUAAAAAUCUGGAGUUGCA
rnacentral:lncRNA from 1 species